AAUUUAAUAAGUAUAAUAUGUUACAGGUUUAGAAAUAGCUGGUGGGUCAUAUAAUCGAAGUUAGUUUUGGUACAAAGGUCUACUGUUAGUUUCAUAACUAUAAUAUGUCACGGUUUAAAAAUAGUGUGUGGCUCUUAUAAUUUAUUUUGUUUUGGUACGAUGGUUUACUAAUCCAUUAAACGGUUUAGAAUUAUAAUAAUGUAACCAGUCUGGUAG
rnacentral:lncRNA from 1 species